rnacentral:rRNA from 1 species
UAGGGAAUCUUCCACAAUGGACGCAAGUCUGAUGGAGCAACGCCGCGUGAGUGAAGAAGGGUUUCGGCUCGUAAAGCUCUGUUGUUAAAGAAGAACGUGGGUAAGAGUAACUGUUUACCCAGUGACGGUAUUUAACCAGAAAGCCCACGGCUAACUACGUGCCAG